rnacentral:rRNA from 1 species
GACAGAGGAUGCAAGCGUUAUCCGGAAUGAUUGGGCGUAAAGCGUCUGUAGGUGGCUUUUUAAGUCCGCCGUCAAAUCCCAGGGCUCAACCCUGGACAGGCGGUGGAAACUACCAAGCUGGAGUACGGUAGGGGCAGAGGGAAUUUCCGGUGGAGCGGUGGAAUGCGCAGAUAUCAGGAGGAACACCGGUGGCGAAGGCGGGUCUCUGGGCAGUAACUGACGCUGAGGAGCGAAAGCGUGGGGGAGCGAACAGG